rnacentral:rRNA from 1 species
UACGGAGGGGGCGAGCGUUGUCCGAAGUCACUGGGCGUAAAGGGCGCGUAGGCGGCCAGCACAAGUCAGUUGUGAAAUCUCCGAGCUUAACUCGGAACGGUCAACUGAUACUGUGCGGCUAGAGUGCGGAAGGGGCAACUGGAAUUCUUGGUGUAGCGGUGAAAUGCGUAGAUAUCAAGAGGAACACCUGCGGCGAAGGCGGGUUGCUGGGCCGACACUGACGCUGAGGCGCGAAAGCCAGGGGAGCGAACGGG